rnacentral:snoRNA from 1 species
ACGGGGUUCUUUUAAUAUUUCCCCAGAUGAUCGACGCUGAACAAACUGAGCGUUUUUAUUUCUCUUUGAAUUUAUUAAAAGAGAAUUCAAGCCAGGAAACUAAUCCAU